UACGUAGGUCCCGAGCGUUGUCCGGAUUUAUUGGGCGUAAAGGGCGUGUAGGCGGGAGCGCAAGUCAGAUGUGAAAACUCAGGGCUCAACCCUGAGCCUGCAUUUGAAACUGUGUUUCUUGAGUGCUGGAGAGGCAAUCGGAAUUCCGUGUGUAGCGGUGAAAUGCGUAGAUAUACGGAGGAACACCAGUGGCGAAGGCGGAUUGCUGGACAGUAACUGACGCUGAGGCGCGAAAGCGUGGGGAGCAAACAGG
rnacentral:rRNA from 1 species